CAAAUGACUCUCGGCAAUGGAUAUCUCGGCUCUUGCAUCGAUGAAGAACGUAGUGAAAUGCGAUACUUGGUGUGAAUUGCAGAAUCUCGUGAACCAUUGAGUCUUUGAACGCAAGUUGUGCCCGAGGCCUUCGGGCCAAGGGCACGCCUGCUUGGGCGU
rnacentral:rRNA from 2 species